CAAAGAAUAGUUUAACUUAAGAAUUUAAGCUUUGGGAGCUUAAGGUGGGAGUUAAAAUCUCCCUUCUUUGA
rnacentral:tRNA from 1 species